ncrna:unclassified sequences Glutamine-II riboswitch (downstream peptide RNA)
UUACGUUCAUCUACUUAAUCGUAGACGCAUCAAUACAUCAUUCAUGGAACGGGGGAUGGUG